GUCUACGGCCAUGCCACUCUGAACAAGCCUGACCCCGUCUGAUCUCGGAAGCUAAGCAGGAUCAGGCCUGGUUAGUACUUGGAUGGGGAGCACCUAGAAAGACCAGGUGCUGUAGGCA
rnacentral:rRNA from 1 species